UACAGGGGGUGCAAACGUUGCUUGGAAUCAUUGGGCGUAAAGGGCGCGUAGGCGGCCGCCUAAGUCAGACGUGAAAUCCCUCGGCUCAACCGGGGAACUGCGUCUGAUACUGGGUGGCUUGAAUCCGGGAGAGGGAUGCGGAAUUCCAGGUGUAGCGGUGAAAUGCGUAGAUAUCUGGAGGAACACCGGUGGCGAAGGCGGCAUCCUGGACCGGCAUUGACGCUGAGGCGCGAAAGCCAGGGGAGCAAACGGG
rnacentral:rRNA from 1 species